rnacentral:rRNA from 1 species
UACGAGGGGAGCAAGCGUUGUUCGGAUUUACUGGGCGUAAAGGGCGCGUAGGCGGCUCUACAAGUCACUUGUGAAAUCUCCGGGCUUAACUCGGAACGGUCAAGUGAUACUGUCGAGCUAGAGUACAGAAGGGGCAACUGGAAUUCUCGGUGUAGCGGUGAAAUGCGUAGAUAUCGAGAGGAACACCUGCGGCGAAGGCGGUUGCCUGGAGCUUUGCUGACGCUGAUGCGCGAAAGCGUGGGGAGCGAUCCGG